ACGGGUGAGUAAUGCCUAGGAAUCUGCCUGGUAGUGGGGGACAACGUCUCGAAAGGGACGCUAAUACCGCAUACGUCCUACGGGAGAAAGCAGGGGACCUUCGGGCCUUGCGCUAUCAGAUGAGCCUAGGUCGGAUUAGCUAGUUGGUGAGGUAAUGGCUCACCAAGGCGACGAUCCGUAACUGGUCUGAGAGGAUGAUCAGUCACACUGGAACUGAGACACGGUCCAGACUCCUACGGGAGGCAGCAGUGGGGAAUAUUGGACAAUGGGCGAAAGCCUGAUCCAGCCAUGCCGCGUGUGUGAAGAAGGUCUUCGGAUUGUAAAGCACUUUAAGUUGGGAGGAAGGGCAGUAAAUUAAUACUUUGCUGUUUUGACGUUACCGACAGAAUAAGCACCGGCUAACUCUGUGCCAGCAGCCGCGGUAAUACAGAGGGUGCAAGCGUUAAUCGGAAUUACUGGGCGUAAAGCGCGCGUAGGUGGUUUGUUAAGUUGGAUGUGAAAUCCCCGGGCUCAACCUGGGAACUGCAUUCAAAACUGACAAGCUAGAGUAUGGUAGAGGGUGGUGGAAUUUCCUGUGUAGCGGUG
rnacentral:rRNA from 1 species